rnacentral:rRNA from 1 species
GUGCCAGCAGCCGCGGUAAUACGUAGGGUCCGAGCGUUGUCCGGAGUUACUGGGCGUAAAGCGCGCGCAGGCGGUCCCGCGCGCCCGGCGUGAAAGCCCCCGGCUCAACCGGGGAGGGUCGUCGGGGACGGCGGGACUUGAGGGCGGUAGGGGCCGGUGGAAUCCCUGGUGUAGUGGUGAAAUGCGUAGAGAUCAGGGGGAACACCCGUGGCGAAGGCGGCCGGCUGGGCCGACCCUGACGCUGAGGCGCGAAGGCGUGGGGAGCGAACGGGAUUAGAUACCCCCGUAGUCC